AACGAACGCUGGCGGCAUGCCUAACACAUGCAAGUCGAACGAGACCUUCGGGUCUAGUGGCGCACGGGUGCGUAACGCGUGGGAACCUGCCCUUAGGUUCGGAAUAACUCCCCGAAAGGGGUGCUAAUGCCGGAUAAUGUCUUCGGACCAAAGAUUUAUCGCCUUUGGAUGGGCCCGCGUUGGAUUAGCUAGUUGGUAGGGUAAAAGCCUACCAAGGCGACGAUCCAUAGCUGGUCUGAGAGGAUGAUCAGCCACACUGGGACUGAGACACGGCCCAGACUCCUACGGGGGGCAGCAGUGGGGAAUAUUGGACAAUGGGCGAAAGCCUGAUCCAGCAAUGCCGCGUGAGUGAUGAAGGCCUUAGGGUUGUAAAGCUCUUUUACCCGGGAUGAUAAUGACAGUACCGGGAGAAUAAGCUCCGGCUAACUCCGUG
rnacentral:rRNA from 1 species